rnacentral:tRNA from 1 species
GACAGUGUGGUAUAGUGGCUUAAGUGCUGGAUUAUGACUCUGGAGACAAGGGUUCAAAUCCCUGCUUGGCCA